rnacentral:rRNA from 1 species
UACGAAGGGGGCUAGCGUUGCUCGGAAUCACUGGGCGUAAAGGGCGCGUAGGCGGGAUGCAAGUCGGUCGUGAAAUCUCUCGGCUCAACCGAGAAACGUCGGCCGAUACUGCCGUUCUUGAGGGAUGCAGAGGAGACUGGAAUUCCCGGUGUAGCGGUGAAAAUGUGUAGAGAUCGGGAGGAACACCGGUGGCGAAGGCGACUACCUGGCCUGUUCUUGACGCUGAGGCGCGAAAGCUAGGGGAGCAAACGGGG